GACAGAGGUGCCGAGCGUUAGGCGGAAUCACUGGGCUUAAAGCGUGUGUAGGCGGGCCGUUAAGUGUCUUGUGAGAUCCCCCGGCUCAACCGGGGAAUUGCUGGGCAUACUGGCGGUCUUGAGCAAUCUAGGGGCAGAUGGAACAAGUGGUGGAGCGGUGAAAUGCGUAGAUAUCACUUGGAACGCCAAAGGUGAAGACAGUCUGCUGGGGAUUUGCUGACGCUGAGACACGAAAGCCAGGGGAGCGAACGGG
rnacentral:rRNA from 1 species